GAUGAACGCUAGCGAUAGGCUUAACACAUGCAAGUCGAGGGGCAGCACAAGGUAGCUUGCUAUCUGGGUGGCGACCGGCGCACGGGUGCGUAACGCGUAUGCAACUUGCCCUAUACAGGAGGAUAACCCGUCGAAAGACGGACUAAUACUGCGUAUGCUCACAACUUGGCAUCAAGUGGUGAGGAAAGAAAUUCGGUAUAGGAUAGGCAUGCGUCCCAUUAGCUUGUUGGUGAGGUAACGGCUCACCAAGGCAACGAUGGGUAGGGGAACUGAGAUGUUUAUCCCCCACACUGGUACUGAGACACGGACCAGACUCCUACGGGAGGCAGCAGUGAGGAAUAUUGGUCAAUGGGCGCGAGCCUGAACCAGCCAAGUCGCGUGAAGGAUGACUGUCUUAUGGAUUGUAAACUUCUUUUAUACGGGAAUAACAAGAGUCACGUGUGACUCCCUGCAUGUACCGUAUGAAUAAGCAUCGGCUAACUCCGUG
rnacentral:rRNA from 1 species